AGUGGAGGUGAGGGUAUCUCUUGUUGGAGAUCCCUGAUUACUUUGGAGUUUUCAAAUAGCAAACAACAAAAGAAGACUACUGUGACCAUACCAACAAGGACAAUACCUGAAAUACUAGGUUUUGUAAGAAUAGUGCUUAAAGGAAACUUCUCAUAUUCAACAUCAUACAAUUAUCCACCAUCUUACAGAUUCACUGAAGCCUGAACCUAGGGGGAGGCAAAAUAACAACAACAAAAAAAUAAGUCUUUCAGAACUCAAAAUACAACUGGGAUUCACUGUCAAAUUUCCUGUCUUCCUGUAAAUGGGAAGAAUGGCUGGAAAGUUCUUGAUCACUAACUGGAAGCGAGAAGAAAAUGAUUCUAGACCUUUGGCUGCAAUGCUUACUUACUUGCAGGAAGAGGUUCACCUAUAAUGACUGAAGUUUACAUUAGGAGCAUCGUUAGACCACUAAGUAGUUCAUCAUGCUCAGCUUCAAGCUGCUGUUGAAAAAUAUAAUUUCUUUGCACCAGACAUUGCAUAUAUACAUUACAUAUGCACUACAGCUAUCCCUUUCCAUAUGUACAAAAUUUUCAACUACUUCAAAAGUAACUGAAAUUUACUUAUGUCUACUUGAGCUUGAGUUUACUAUUUAAACAAUUACUACAACCAAUUUUGGCAGUUUCUCACUUGAAGAUACUUCUGUGUAUUUUUCUGACAAUUUUUGGUUUGGUGAGUGUAUGCCUUGACAAAAGGGCUAUGUUGCUGUUGCAAAGCACAUUUUUUUUAUUUAUUUUGUCAAAGUCAAUAUAUUAGCACAUAUUUUGGUGUAAGAAAAUAAGCAUCCUGGAAUUCUUGAUCACUGUGAUUAAAAAUAACUCCUUUAAUAAACCAAUAAUUAUUUGAAUUACAUUGUUGCAUAAGCACAGUCCACAAGAAUUAACAGCCCAUUGCAUUUGACUGAAAUGAUCCACAUUCCUCAGUUUUAUCCCUGGAAUAUGAAUCUGUGCGCUAUCAUCACAGGCAGACCUUCCAACAUGUAUCCAUAUUUUUCUAUCUCAAUACCAGGUAAUAUUUGAGUCUAGCUUCAAUACUUGUCCCACAAGCUGUUUCUGAUUCCAGUCUGUUUCGUAGGCUGCACGCAUCUUUUCCAAUGAAAGCUAUUACACUAUCCUCAAUGGUGACUUUCCCACCCAUCCAUCCUUCACAUUUGACUCUCCUUCCUCAGAACAGACCUCGUGGAAAACACCACCUGUUCUUGUCUAAAGCUAAAUUAAAAAAAUUACUAUUUCUUUCUCCUGGAAGAUCUGUUCUAUCACUUGUAUUUUAAAAUGGAUUAUUAAUAUAUGUAAAGAGAAGUAGAGAAAGCACAUUUCAAAUAAAUAUUUGUUGUAUUAAUAAAGAACUCAAUGCUUGAAAAAGCAAACUGCUUGAUUAAAAACUUUCAAAGCUGUUAAUGGACAAUUACUUGAGAAUUACAGGGUUUACCAGCAGCAUAGCUAGUUACAGUGAGCAGGCUUUCUUUUGGAAUGAGGCACUACAGAAUAUCCUAUGGUUGGGAUUUUUUUUUUCCUGAUUUUACUUAGAAAAGACUUAUUUGCGUAACAGGCCUGACUAUCCAAUUGCCAUUUCACAAGAUCUGUCAUAAUUAUGUAACUUAAGCAGUUUGAGAAAUUCCAGCCAACCAAGGUCUACCGAUCAACUAACUCCAGCGCAUGUCAGUAUGUUGUAUCAGAAUGCUUUGUAUCAUUACAGUUUAGGUCUGAGUCACGAAUUUUCGUUACAGUGAAAUAAAUUCCAAGCUGUGAGUUUGAUGCCUGCAAUUCAGCAGGGGACAUUAAAAACAUUAAUGAACAAACAUAAUUGUCUCAAAACGAAACUUUUAAGAAUGCAGAACAAUUCUCCAUAAUAGUAAAACUAGGAAGACAGAACAGUUUAAAAUAAAAGUUUUCCCAAAGGCAG
ensembl:lncRNA